UACAGAGGGUGCGAGCGUUAAUCGGAGUUACUGGGCGUAAAGGGCGCGUAGGCGGUGAGAUGAGUGUGAUGUGAAAGCCCUGGGCUUAACCUGGGAAGUGCAUUGCAAACGAUCUGACUGGAGUAUAAGAGAGGGUGGCGGAAUUUCCGGUGUAGCGGUGAAAUGCGUAGAGAUCGGAAGGAACGUCGAUGGCGAAGGCAGCCACCUGGCUUAAUACUGACGCUGAUACGCGAAAGCGUGGGGAGCAAACAGG
rnacentral:rRNA from 1 species